rnacentral:rRNA from 1 species
GACGUAGGGCGCGAGCGUUGUCCGGAUUUAUUGGGCGUAAAGAGCUCGUAGGCGGCUUGUUGCGUCGACCGUGAAAACCCGGGGCUCAACUUCGGGCUUGCGGUCGAUACGGGCGGGCUAGAGUUCGGUAGGGGAGACGUGAAUUCCUGGUGUAGCGGUGAAAUGCGCAGAUAUCAGGAGGAACACCGGUGGCGAAGGCGGGUCUCUGGGCCGAUACUGACGCUGAGGAGCGAAAGCGUGGGGAGCGAACAGG